GGGUUGUGAGGUUAAGCGACUAAGCGUACACGGUGGAUGCCCUGGCAGUCAGAGGCGAUGAAGGGCGUGCUAAUCUGCGAUAAGCGCCGGUAAGGUGAUAUGAACCGUUAUAACCGGCGAUACCCGAAUGGGGAAACCCAGUGUGACUCGUCACACUAUCAUUAACUGAAUCCAUAGGUUAAUGAGGCGAACCGGGGGAACUGAAACAUCUAAGUACCCCGAGGAAAAGAAAUCAACCGAGAUUCCCCCAGUAGCGGCGAGCGAACGGGGAGGAGCCCAGAGCCUGAAUCAGCAUGUGUGUUAGUGGAAGCGUCUGGAAAGGCGCGCGAUACAGGGUGACAGCCCCGUACACAAAAGCGCAUGUGCUGUGAGCUCGAUGAGUAGGGCGGGACACGUGGUAUCCUGUCUGAAUAUGGGGGGACCAUCCUCCAAGGCUAAAUACUCCUGACUGACCGAUAGUGAACCAGUACCGUGAGGGAAAGGCGAAAAGAACCCCGGCGAGGGGAGUGAAAAAGAACCUGAAACCGUGUACGUACAAGCAGUGGGAGCCCCACCACUAAGCCAGUGGUGAACUCCACAUACGCAUCCUUUGCUGAGGAUACGGUUAACGGAGCGAAAGCGACGUUCAACCUCAAAAGAAGCAGAGGGGCUUAGUGGUGGGUGACUGCGUACCUUUUGUAUAAUGGGUCAGCGACUUAUAUUCUGUAGCAAGGUUAACCGAAUAGGGGAGCCGGAGGGAAACCGAGUCUUAACCGGGCGUUAAGUUGCAGGGUAUAGACCCGAAACCCGGUGAUCUAGCCAUGGGCAGGUUGAAGGUUGGGUAACACUAACUGGAGGACCGAACCGACUAAUGUUGAAAAAUUAGCGGAUGACCUGUGGCUGGGGGUGAAAGGCCAAUCAAACCGGGAGAUAGCUGGUUCUCCCCGAAAGCUAUUUAGGUAGCGCCUCGUGAAUUCAUCUCCGGGGGUAGAGCACUGUUUCGGCUAGGGGGCCAUCCCGGCUUACCAACCCGAUGCAAACUGCGAAUACCGGAGAAUGUUAUCACGGGAGACACACGGCGGGUGCUAACGUCCGUCGUGAAGAGGGAAACAACCCAGACCGCCAGCUAAGGUCCCAAAGUCAUGGUUAAGUGGGAAACGAUGUGGGAAGGCCCAGACAGCCAGGAUGUUGGCUUAGAAGCAGCCAUCAUUUAAAGAAAGCGUAAUAGCUCACUGGUCGAGUCGGCCUGCGCGGAAGAUGUAACGGGGCUAAACCAUGCACCGAAGCUGCGGCAGCGACACUGUGUGUUGUUGGGUAGGGGAGCGUUCUGUAAGCCUGUGAAGGUGUGUCGUGAGGCAUGCUGGAGGUAUCAGAAGUGCGAAUGCUGACAUAAGUAACGAUAAAGCGGGUGAAAAGCCCGCUCGCCGGAAGACCAAGGGUUCCUGUCCAACGUUAAUCGGGGCAGGGUGAGUCGACCCCUAAGGCGAGGCCGAAAGGCGUAGUCGAUGGGAAACGGGUUAAUAUUCCCGUACUUGGUGUUACUGCGAAGGGGGGACGGAGAAGGCUAUGUUGGCCGGGCGACGGUUGUCCCGGUUUAAGCGUGUAGGCUGGUUUUCCAGGCAAAUCCGGAAAAUCAAGGCUGAGGCGUGAUGACGAGGCACUACGGUGCUGAAGCAACAAAUGCCCUGCUUCCAGGAAAAGCCUCUAAGCAUCAGGUAACAUCAAAUCGUACCCCAAACCGACACAGGUGGUCAGGUAGAGAAUACCAAGGCGCUUGAGAGAACUCGGGUGAAGGAACUAGGCAAAAUGGUGCCGUAACUUCGGGAGAAGGCACGCUGACACGUAGGUGAAGUGAUUUACUCAUGGAGCUGAAGUCAGUCGAAGAUACCAGCUGGCUGCAACUGUUUAUUAAAAACACAGCACUGUGCAAACACGAAAGUGGACGUAUACGGUGUGACGCCUGCCCGGUGCCGGAAGGUUAAUUGAUGGGGUCAGCGCAAGCGAAGCUCCUGAUCGAAGCCCCGGUAAACGGCGGCCGUAACUAUAACGGUCCUAAGGUAGCGAAAUUCCUUGUCGGGUAAGUUCCGACCUGCACGAAUGGCGUAAUGAUGGCCAGGCUGUCUCCACCCGAGACUCAGUGAAAUUGAACUCGCUGUGAAGAUGCAGUGUACCCGCGGCAAGACGGAAAGACCCCGUGAACCUUUACUAUAGCUUGACACUGAACAUUGAGCCUUGAUGUGUAGGAUAGGUGGGAGGCUUUGAAGCGUGGACGCCAGUCUGCGUGGAGCCGACCUUGAAAUACCACCCUUUAAUGUUUGAUGUUCUAACGUGGACCCGUAAUCCGGGUUGCGGACAGUGUCUGGUGGGUAGUUUGACUGGGGCGGUCUCCUCCUAAAGAGUAACGGAGGAGCACGAAGGUUGGCUAAUCCUGGUCGGACAUCAGGAGGUUAGUGCAAUGGCAUAAGCCAGCUUGACUGCGAGCGUGACGGCGCGAGCAGGUGCGAAAGCAGGUCAUAGUGAUCCGGUGGUUCUGAAUGGAAGGGCCAUCGCUCAACGGAUAAAAGGUACUCCGGGGAUAACAGGCUGAUACCGCCCAAGAGUUCAUAUCGACGGCGGUGUUUGGCACCUCGAUGUCGGCUCAUCACAUCCUGGGGCUGAAGUAGGUCCCAAGGGUAUGGCUGUUCGCCAUUUAAAGUGGUACGCGAGCUGGGUUUAGAACGUCGUGAGACAGUUCGGUCCCUAUCUGCCGUGGGCGCUGGAGAACUGAGGGGGGCUGCUCCUAGUACGAGAGGACCGGAGUGGACGCAUCACUGGUGUUCGGGUUGUCAUGCCAAUGGCACUGCCCGGUAGCUAAAUGCGGAAGAGAUAAGUGCUGAAAGCAUCUAAGCACGAAACUUGCCCCGAGAUGAGUUCUCCCUGAGACUUAGAGUCUCCUGAAGGAACGUUGAAGACGACGACGUUGAUAGGCCGGGUGUGUAAGCGCAGCGAUGCGUUGAGCUAACCGGUACUAAUGAACCGUGAGGCUUAACCUUACAACGCCGAAGCUGUU
rnacentral:rRNA from 1 species